rnacentral:rRNA from 1 species
ACGGGUGAGUAACGCGUGGGAAUCUACCCAUCUCUACGGAAUAACGCAUGGAAACGUGUGCUAAUACCGUAUACGUCCUUCGGGAGAAAGAUUUAUCGGAGAUGGAUGAGCCCGCGUUGGAUUAGCUAGUUGGUGGGGUAAAGGCCUACCAAGGCGACGAUCCAUAGCUGGUCUGAGAGGAUGAUCAGCCACACUGGGACUGAGACACGGCCCAGACUCCUACGGGAGGCAGCAGUGGGGAAUAUUGGACAAUGGGCGCAAGCCUGAUCCAGCCAUGCCGCGUGAGUGAUGAAGGCUCUAGGGUUGUAAAGCUCUUUCACCGGUGAAGAUAAUGACGGUAACCGGAGAAGAAGCCCCGGCUAACUUCGUGCCAGCAGCCGCGGUAAUACGAAGGGGGCUAGCGUUGUUCGGAUUUACUGGGCGUAAAGCGCACGUAGGCGGACUAUUAAGUCAGGGGUGAAAUCCCGGGGCUCAACCCCGGAACUGCCUUUGAUACUGGUAGUCUUGAGUUCGAGAGAGGUGAGUGGAAUUCCGAGUGUAGAGGUGAAAUUCGUAGA